UACAGAGGUGGCAAGCGUUGUUCGGAAUUACUGGGCGUAAAGGGCGCGUAGGCGGCCUCCUAAGUCGGACGUGAAAGCCCCAGGCUUAACCUGGGAACUGCGUCUGAUACUGGGAGGCUUGGAUUCGGGAGAGGGAUGCGGAAUUCCAGGUGUAGCGGUGAAAUGCGUAGAUAUCUGGAGGAACACCGGUGGCGAAGGCGGCGUCCUGGACCGAGAUCGACGCUGAGGCGCGAAAGCUAGGGGAGCAAACGGG
rnacentral:rRNA from 1 species